UACGGGGGGGGGCAAGCGUUGUUCGGAAUUACUGGGCGUAAAGGGCUCGUAGGCGGCCAACUAAGUCAGACGUGAAAUCCCUCGGCUUAACCCGGGGAACUGCGUCUGAUACUGGAUGGCUUGAGUUUGGGGAGAGGGAUGCGGAAUUCCAGGUGUAGCGGUGAAAUGCGUAGAUAUCCGGAGGAACACCGGUGGCGAAGGCGGCGUUCCCUGGAC
rnacentral:rRNA from 1 species